rnacentral:lncRNA from 1 species
GCUCGAGAGGCUACUCAUCUUAGGGAGUGGAUAGAGUCAUAAGUUAUAUAGAUAGUGGAAAAGAUCAUAGGUCUGGGGACAGCCCAGAAGUCUAGCAUGAUGUCAUUUCUAAUCACUAUAGGGUAGCUAGUUGAGUAGCUACAGAGGUUUAUCCCUCUAGGUGCAACAGCAGUAGCAGUAACAUCAGCAUUGAUAGUGGCAGCAGCAGCAGCAAGCCCAUCUAGUGCUCAUAGUCGUUCUACUC